rnacentral:rRNA from 1 species
UACGUAGGGGGCGAGCGUUGUCCGGAUUUAUUGGGCGUAAAGAGCUCGUAGGCGGUUCGAUAAGUCAGGUGUAAAAACUCCAGGCUCAACUUGGAGAGGCCACCUGAUACUGUCGUGACUAGAGUCCGGUAGAGGAGCACGGAAUUCCUGGUGUAGCGGUGGAAUGCGCAGAUAUCAGGAAGAACACCAGUGGCGAAGGCGGCUCUCUGGGACGGUACUGACGCUGAGACGCGAAAGCGUGGGGAGCGAACAGG